AACGUACGCUGGCGGCACGCCUAACACAUGCAAGUCGAACGAAGUAGCAAUACUUAGUGGCAGACGGGUGAGUAACAUGUGGGUAUCUGCCCUUUGGCCUGGAAUAACACGAGGAAACUUGUGCUAAUACCGGAUAAGUCUUUACGGAGAAAGCUUUAUGCACCAUUGGAUGAGCCCGCACUUGAUUAGUUUGUUGGUGGGGUAAUGGCCUACCAAGACUGUGAUCAAUAGCUGAUUUGAGAGGAUGAUCAGCCACAUUGGGACUGAGACACGGCCCAAACUCCUACGGGAGGCAGCAGUGGGGAAUCUUGCACAAUGGAGGAAACUCUGAUGCAGCGAUGCCGCGUGAGUGAAGAAGGCCCUUGGGUUGUAAAGCUCUUUCGUCGGGGAAGAAAAUGACUGUACCCGAAUAAGAAGGUCCGGCUAACUUCGUGCCAGCAGCCGCGGUAAUACGAAGGGACCUAGCGUAGUUCGGAAUUACUGGGCUUAAAGAGUUCGUAGGUGGUUGAAAAAGUUAGUGGUGAAAUCCCAGAGCUUAACUCUGGAACUGCCAUUAAAACUUUUCAGCUAGAGUAUGAUAGAGGAAAGCAGAAUUUCUAGUGUAGAGGUGAAAUUCGUAGAUAUUAGAAAGAAUACCAAUUGCGAAGGCAGCUUUCUGGAUCAUUACUGACACUGAGGAACGAAAGCAUGGGUAGCGAAGAGGAUUAGAUACCCUCGUAGUCCAUGCCGUAAACGAUGUGUGUUAGACGUUGGAAAUUUAUUUUCAGUGUCGCAGCGAAAGCGAUAAACACACCGCCUGGGGAGUACGACCGCAAGGUUAAAACUCAAAUGAAUUGACGGGGACCCGCACAAGUAGUGGAGCAUGUGGUUUAAUUCGAAGAUACGCGCAGAACCUUACCAACGCUUGACAUGUUCGUCGCGACUCUAAGAGAUUAGAGUUUUCGGUUCGGCCGGACGAAACACAGGUGCUGCAUGGCUGUCGUCAGCUCGUGUCGUGAGAUGUUGGGUUAAGUCCCGCAACGAGCGCAACCCUCACUUUUAGUUGCCAUCAUUAAGUUGGGCACUCUGAAAGAACUGCCAGUGAUAAGCUGGAGGAAGGUGGGGAUGACGUCAAGUCCUCAUGGCCCUUACGUGUUGGGCUACACACGUGCUACAAUGGUAUCUACAACAGGAAGCAAGACUGCGAGGUCAAGCAAAUCCUUAAAAGAUACCUCAGUUCGGAUUGCACUCUGCAACUCGAGUGCAUGAAGCUGGAAUUACUAGUAAUCGUGGAUCAGCGUGCCACGGUGAAUGCGUUCCCGGGUCU
rnacentral:rRNA from 1 species